rnacentral:rRNA from 1 species
CUACGGGGCGCAGCAGUGAGGAAUCUUCCGCAAUGGGCGCAAGCCUGACGGAGCGACACCGCGUGGAGGACGAAGGCCUUUUGGUUGUAAACUCCUUUUCUGGGGGAAUAAAUGAUGAAGGUACCCCAGGAAUAAGCACCGGCUAACUACGUGCCAGCAGCCGCGGUAAUACGUAGGGUGCAAGCGUUAUCCGGAAUUAUUGGGCGUAAAGCGUUCGCAGGCUGUUUGGCAAGUUUGGGGUUAAAUCCGGUCGCUCAACGAUCGAAUCGUCUCAAAAACUAUCAAACUAGAGAAUGGUAGAGGUAACUGGAAUUCUGUGUGUAGGGGUAAAAUCCGUUGAUACACAGAGGAACACCAAAAGCGAAGGCAGGUUACUGGGCCAUUUCUGACGCUGUUGAACGAAAGCGUGGGGAGCAAACAGGAUUAGAUACCCUAGUAGUC